CAGAAGUUGUGCAAUCGUUACACAGGGUGUCGAUGAUGGUACUUGACACAGGUCUGCAGGUAAGGAUGCUGUUUUAAUUUUGCUGGAGAAGACAGUGGCUACUAAAGUCCUGCUAUUUGAAGUUAACAGCUUCUGCCCUGGAGAAACUAUCACCCUGCUCCCCGACUACGCGAAAUGUUGGCAACGGCUGCGCCCCGGGAGGCGGAAGACGCCUGAGCGAUCUGCUGAGGGACUGGAAGCUGUACAAAGAUGACGUGACUUGGAGCUGUUACUGGGGCAGCAACAACUCCACGUAGCGGGCAGCCUCCGACACCAAUUACCGAUGAAUUUUGCAAAGUCUCUGGCCGAACUCUGCUCCUCGUCGCCAGUUGGUGGGCCGUCGACACAACCCUCAUCGGUGGUCUGGCCGACUUCUGCUCCUCGUCGCAAGUGGGCUGGGCUGAUCGACGAGUCCGGGCCGUCCCCCAGAACUGCUAUGACUGCCUGCACGGCCACCCGACUUCCAGACUGCCGCAAGCCACUGUGGUGCCGCCUCGCCGUGGACUGGAUCUGAUCUUCGCUUUGCAGCGGGCCCUGCAUCAGCCUCCUCUCGCCUUGGUGAAGCCGAUCUUCAGACUUCUGCUCUGUCAACGCUCACUAUCCUCCGCAUAAUGGGAAGUAGACCUUUGUUUUGUCUCCUCACUGGACAUGUAAAUCCUCCAUAGACUGUUAGCUGGGUGGCUCUGAGUCCUGUUUCCUCUGUGUACCGAGGGCACAGAGGAUGGCGGCAGAGUGGUGGUGGCAGCAUAUUUAUUGAUAGGCAUGCACAACAAACUAAUAAAGGGAAGCGAUGAGAGCGAGAGAGCCUUAAUCUCUUUUAAAUUUACUGGGGCCGAGAGACAGCUCAGUAGACUGACUUUACCGUUCUCCUGACAGCGGCCGUCCAGUUCGAGGUGAUCCCCAGCACUGGACUUCCUGGACUGGACUACUGUUGCAGCCACAUAGCCGAACCUGGCUUCCACCCUGGCGCAAAGGAAAAUUCAAAGCGGCAUUGUGACUUGACUGAAGUGGACUUUGUGGUAUUCUUAAAUACCAUUCUUGGUGCAGCCUGCUCACCCUGAACCGUACUGUUUGAUUGUGGUUUUGAAGAAAAAUGGUUUGCCCAUAAUGUAUCUAUUUUAAAGAACUUUAGUA